GCUAUUCUUAGGAAUAUUGGGUUGUGUGCCUCCUUUUUUUUUAACGUGGGCCGAGAAGAAGAUGUUGACGUGCUUGGGUGGCAGCUGCUGGAAGUUGUAAUUGCUGGAUGUGUGGAGGCUGGAUCAAGUUGGACCUCUUCUCGUGCUGCAGCUGGGCAUCCAAGUUGCUUGCUGGAUGAAGAAAUGAGUGGCCCAAACCGUGACAGCAGCUACUAGAGUCUGUGUGCUCCUCCCAACGUCGAAGUGAAUGUGUGCAGGCCGUGCACUCCUCCUGGGCCCAAUUGCUCUCUUCAAUUCAAUCAAUGCUUUUUAAAUAUGUUGGCUGCGUCACAAGCAAGGUUGCAGGACGUGAUUUUGCUUCAAUGUUCCUUGUUCCAUAGGCCCCGCUGGAUGUAACAUUUCCCUCCAUCACCUUUUUGGACCGUGACACUCUUUUUUUCCAAUAGAAAAAUAUUUCCACACAACAUUGCUGCACACACCUCCCAUAGCGUGUCCUAUUCACAUGAGGAUGGCAGCUGCUCUUUUCUUGUUCAGUCCUUGCUAUGGUACCAAUUAAAUCAACACUUUUUUUAUUUCAAACCUCACCAUAUGUUUCCUCCAAUAGAAAAAAAAAUGACUGCAUCCCUUCCUAAUGUCCUAAACUGUAUUUCUAAAUUAUUUUCCUGCAAUUAAUAAUGCAAAUAAUUAUCUCAGAUAAUUAAAAUUAAUUAAAAUAAGAAUUUCCUGUCAAAUUAAGCACAAUUAGCAAAAACGGAAAUAUACCAGACAAUUAAGCACAAUUCCCUGAUUAAUUCUAGCACAAUAAACUAAGUGAAAUCAAUAAAAUAUCGACUCAUCAGGGCACAUGGACGAAUCGAACAUAUACCGGAAUGAGAGGGAUUUGGAGAUUGUAUAGGUAUGGGACUAUACAGUUGAAGGAUAGCUUAAAGGAAUUGAUUUGACUACUCAUAUCAACAAAUGCAUUUCCUUUUCGGUAGCCUAACUCAUAAGAACUCCUGGAAAGCCUCGUGCUGAUCUGUGGGGGCAGUCAGCAGUCCCUGUAAGUUGCCGGGGCAUUACACAGUAUAGACUAGGAAGUGACUCCUAGGUCACAUCUCAAGGACCAAAUGUGGUUCGAGAACCUAACACUGUAAUAGACAAAUAUCCAAACAGAAUUAAAAUUAUCAAAAUGCAACACUAAAUUUAAAAUAUAAAAAAAAAAUUCAACAUAUGUAAAAUAAUUUAAAGCAAAAGAAAUAAACAAACAUAAACUAUUUCCACCAUGUCAUGUGACACAUAUGCACCUCUCAAAAGAAAAUUAAAAUUCCAAAAUGCUUGAAGUUCCCUUUGUCGUGACCUCCUUGUCUUAUCAUGAAUCAUGCUUCAUCAAAGGAAUUGGAAUUAUGCUUGUGAAAUAAAAAAAAAUUAAGAAAUCGUGGCAGUGAGCCCAGACCGUGCUGUCAUGUUUUCCAAGCAAUGCAUCGAUUUUUUUCUCUAAUUACCACCUCCGUACAACACACACCUACUUCCACCUUAUCACUUCUUCAUUUCCAAAUAAAUAAAAGGGCUAAAUUCCUACACCUAUUCGGCUGCCAGCAUCCCCCACCUCCAUCCUACCUAAUCUAUUUUCAAUUCAUUAAAAGAAAAGCAAAGAAAAUAAAAUGCUAGCACCUCAUUCACAGGAAUCAACACCUACUAACUUCUACCAUCUAAUCACUCUUCAUGCUAAAAGAAAAGUUGAUAACAAUUGCCAAUGUCCCAUCACCCCUAGGCUCCAACCUAUUCUACUCUUCAAUUUAUAAAAACAAAAGCUAAUGCUACUCUCCUAACAAAGCCGUGA
rnacentral:lncRNA from 1 species